rnacentral:lncRNA from 1 species
UGAUAUUUUCCACGUCAAUGAUCUUAGCUUAUGUUUGAUUUGUGAUUAACGAUUUAAUUGAAAUUCGUUCGUCAAGAUUAUUCUAUUAAGAGGAUUAAAAAUUGAAAACCCCAUCUUAAAUAUCCAACACAUGAUUCGUUAUUGUGGCGAUUAACAUCAACAUAAACACUAUAUUGGGGACACUGCCUAACUUCUAUUUUUCUCAGAACCUUAGGAUUGACCUCU